ACAAGCGGUGGAGCGACGUUGGUUUAAUUCGAUGCAAACCGAAGAACCUUACCUGGGUUUGACAUGUACGUGGUACGGAUCUGAAAGGUGAAGGACCCGGGUCUUCGGACUGGGAGCGUACACAGGUGCUGCAUGGCUGUCGUCAGCUCGUGUCGUGAGAUGUUGGGUUAAGUCCCAUAACGAGCGCAACCCCUACCUUUAGUUGCCAUCAGGUUAAGCUGGGGACUCUAAAGGAACUGCCUACGCAAGUAGUGAGGAAGGCGGGGAUGACGUCAAAUCAGCACGGCCCUUACGUCCAGGGCUACACACGUGCUACAAUGGCCGAUACAGAGGGCAGCUACCUGGUGACAGGAUGCAAAUCUCCAAAGUCGGUCUCAGUUCGGAUCGGAGUCUGCAACCCGACUCCGUGAAGUUGGAUUCGCUAGUAAUCGCGCAUCAGCCAUGGCGCGGUGAAUACGUUCCCGGGCCUU
rnacentral:rRNA from 1 species